rnacentral:pre_miRNA from 18 species
GAUCACACGGGAUAAUCGAUUUUUUCGUGCGGUUACGUUAAGUCGACCACAUGGAAUAAUCGAUUAUCCCGUGCGGUC